GAUGAAGAACGUAGUGAAAUGCGAUACUUGGUGUGAAUUGCAGAAUCCCGUGAACCAUCGAGUCUUUGAACGCAAGUUGCGCCCGAAGCCACAAGGCCGAGGGCACGCCUGCCUGGGCGUCACACGUCGUUGCCCCCCCCCCAUCUACUCCUUCGGGAUUGCGGGGGGCGGAUGAUGGCCUCCCGUGCGCCUAGCCGCGCGGUUGGCAUAAAUACCAAGUCCUCGGCGACGCACGCCACGACAAUCGGUGGUUGCGAAACCUCGGUUGCCCGUCGUGUGCGUUCGUCGCGCAUCGAGGGCUCGAAAAAAUGCUCGGCUCCGGCUCGGCUUUCAACGCGACCCCAGGUCAGGCGGGGUUACCCGCUGAAUUUAAGCAUAUCAAUAAGCGGAGGA
rnacentral:misc_RNA from 1 species